GACGGCUUGUCCCAAGACUAGGCAUGCACGUCUAAGUACAAACUAAAUGAUGGUGAACUGCAAAUGGCUCAUUACAACGGUUAUGAUGUACCCGGGAGUUCCGAUGGAUAUUUCCAGUAACACUAGAACUAAUACAUGUCCCUGCGUUUAUUAGUUUCGCACAGUCCGUCGCUGAGUCAUGGUAAACAGUUGAUCGACUCGACGUCCCGGAACAGUUUCCGCCCCAUCAGCUUCGAUGGUUGGGUAUUGGCCUACCAUUGCAACAACGGGUAACGAGGAAUUAGGGUUUGAUUUCGGAGAGGGGAGCCUGAGAACCGGCUACCCACAUCUACGGAUGGGAGCAGGCGCGCAAAUUACCCCAAUGCCGACACUGUGAGGUAGUGACGAAAAGUAAUAAAGCGGGACUUUCUGUUUUCGCUAUUAAAAAGAAGAAUAAACCCAAGGUCAUUCCCAAUUAGCAACUGAUGGGAAAGUCUUGUGUCCAGCCU
rnacentral:rRNA from 1 species